AGUCAAUAGAUACCCAGGUAGUCCACGCCGUAAACGAUGAGUACUAGGUGUAGGAGGUAUCGACUCCUUCUGUGCCGCAGUUAACACAAUAAGUACUCCGCCUGGGAAGUACGGUCGCAAGAUUAAAACUCAAAGGAAUUGACGGGGGCCCGCACAAGCAGCGGAGCAUGUGGUUUAAUUCGAAGCAACGCGAAGAACCUUACCUAGACUUGACAUCUCCUGAAUAGCGUAGAGAUACGUGAAGCCCUUCGGGGCAGGAAGACAGGUGGUGCAUGGUUGUCGUCAGCUCGUGUCGUGAGAUGUUGGGUUAAGUCCCGCAACGAGCGCAACCCUUAUCAUUAGUUGCUACCAUUAAGUUGAGCACUCUAGUGAGACUGCCCGGGUUAACCGGGAGGAAGGCGGGGAUGACGUCAAAUCAUCAUGCCCCUUAUGUCUAGGGCUACACACGUGCUACAAUGGUGAGAACAACGAGAUGCAAUACCGCGAGGUGGAGCUAAACUUGAAAACUCAUCCCAGUUCGGAUUGUAGGCU
rnacentral:rRNA from 1 species